GUUCCUGGCACAUAGUAGGUGUUCAAUUGAGGUUUGUGGAAUUCAAUUGCACGCCAAUAUGUCCAUGAAACAGUAUUUUAAAAAUAUGUGACUUUUCUCCCUAAAAAAAAUCACAGAGUUGUCAACACUGAAAACUUUGUAGCUUCUAAAGAAAGUUGCUGAUCAGUGAAGCAAAGAACAAGUCAAGAAUCAAGUACGGUUUGCCCUUCAAAAACCAAUGACUGACAACAAUAAAGCUACAAGUGAUUUAUUAUCUUCUUGAGGUGCAUACAUUUAUUUUGCUCAAGGUGUGUAUUUUAUACCUCCUAACAGCCUUGAAGAGAGUUUAAAAAAAAUGUUCUCUGACUUUUAUGCUUCCCAGGUCAUUCUAGUACUGUACCUUGUGGAGAGAAGUAAAAAUAAGCUAUAAAGGCAUACCUUCAGUGCUUUCGGGUUCACACUUUCUUCUUUAUAAAAACAGAAAUUUACCUGCUAGUAGUCCGAGUUAUUUUCCGUGGCAAGUUAAACCAUAAGCUAAUUUCUCACUGUCUUCUGAAAUACACAUGAUCUGAUACUUGUGGAUAAAAUCAGUCUUACACUUUUGUAUAUUUCUCAGAAUACUUUCCUCAUGGGUUUGCUAGAUGAACAUUUUGGUGAUUUUUGAUCAGUAAUAUCAACAUAUAUUUUAUCUUGUUUUAUUUUAAAUGCUUGUAUAAUCCACAGUUCUCUUUAGAGCAGUGCUCCUCAGAGUGUGUUCCAGGGUCUGGUUACAGGUCUUGGAGAUGUUUGGCUCAGUUCUCAAUAAGAUAAGGAGCUUGUGCCAGAAGAUAAAUUAACUGUGCCACUAAGCAUGCUGUUUAGUUCAACUGAUGUUUUUUUCUUAUAUUUUUCAUAGCAACACCUUAUUGAUGAAUGAAGUGCACUAGUUUACAUUAUGGCACAAGCUUCUCUUCUCCUUGUACACUUGCAUUUGAGUAGCGUUGUUGUAGAGAACCUGCACCUAUGUACAUGUGACAUGGUCCUACUCACUGCUUACUGAGUCUAGAUGGACUCUUGGCCCAUUCUGUGUGACAAUUGUCUUUCUUCCUCUCCUCUCCCUCCUCCUUUCUCAGUUUCUCUCUCCGUAAUAGGAACUAAAAGGUAUGGGGACAUCUAGAUGGAGUUGUUGAUUUGCAGUGGAUGUGUGUGCUGAAGGGUCUUGGCUGGAGCCAAUUCCAUGCAAGAUCAAGCCAUAAGCAAACCAAAAUUCUGAGGAGCAAAAGCUAUGAGGACACAGAAGGCCUUCACCGGAUGCCAGUGUCACACUCUUGAACUUUCACACCUCCAGAACCGUAGGCCAGACCUUUCCAGAUGAGCCCUUAAGAGGGUCUGAAUUAUUCAAGGCGAAAGAGUUCCCCAGAGCAGCUGAGUCUACAAUUACCCUCUUUUUGCUGGAUCUGCUCUUCCUAACUGCCUGCCCUACAGAUUCCUAGAUUCCUUGUAAUCUGUGUGUGUAUGUGUGUCUGUCUCUCUCUCUCUAUA